GUGCCAGCCGCCGCGGUAAUUCCAGCUCCAAUAGCGUAUAUUAAAGUUGUUGCAGUUAAAAAGCUCGUAGUUGAACCUUGGGCCUGGCUGGCCGGUCCGCCUCACCGCGUGUACUGGUCCGGCCGGGCCUUUCCUUCUGGGGAACCUCAUGCCCUUCACUGGGCGUGUUGGGGAACCAGGACUUUUACUUUGAAAAAAUUAGAGUGUUCAAAGCAGGCCUUUGCUCGAAUACAUUAGCAUGGAAUAAUAGAAUAGGACGUGUGGUUCUAUUUUGUUGGUUUCUAGGACCGCCGUAAUGAUUAAUAGGGAUAGUCGGGGGCAUCAGUAUUCAAUCGUCAGAGGUGAAAUUCUUGGAUUGAUUGAAGACUAACUACUGCGAAAGCAUUUGCCAAGGAUGUUUUCAUUAAUCAGUGAACGAAAGUUAGGGGAUCGAAGACGAUCAGAUACCGUCGUAGUCUUAACCAUAAACUAUGCCGACUAGGGAUCGGACGGUGUUAUUCAUGACCCGUUCGGCACCUUACGAGAAAUCAAAGUGCUUGGGCUCCAGGGGGAGUAUGGUCGCAAGGCUGAAACUUAAAGAAAUUGACGGAAGGGCACCACCAGGGGUGGAGCCUGCGGCUUAAUUUGACUCAACACGGGGAAACUCACCAGGUCCAGACACAAUAAGGAUUGACAGAUUGAGAGCUCUUUCUUGAUUUUGUGGGUGUGAUGCAUGGUCGUUCUUAGUGGUGGGGUGACUUGUCUGCUAGUGCGAUACGAACGAGACCUAACUGCUAAUAGCCGCAUGCUCAGCAGUGCGCUGCUCUAGAGACUUCCGAUCAGCCGAGAGGUCGAGCAUACAGUCUGGAUGCCUAGAUGUCUGGGCCGCACGCGCGCUUACCCUGAACGUA
rnacentral:rRNA from 1 species